GUGCCCUGUCCUGUAGCCCUAAAAUGAUAAUGUGCGGUGUGCCCUGUCCUGUCGCUCUAAAAUGAUAAUGUGCUGUGUGCCCUGUCUUAUGGCACUGGUAUCUCUGUAUACUGUGCUGGGUACUGUCUCUUUCAUAUCCCUAGACACUGAGCUAAGUGCCCGCUAUGCAAAGAUCAUGUGCCACUUAUGGCACCCCUGGAACUAUAGAGUGUUCUCUCUGAUGUCUUUCCUACCAGCAUGUGCCCUCAGUGAUACACCGGUUAGUUGUUUGCAACCUCUCCAAUGCCCUACAAGCAUACAAUGCCACCUGUGGUACCCCAUGCAAGCAUAUUGU